GGCUGGUCCGAUGGCAGUGGGUUAUCAGACCUUAUUAACAUUAGUGUCACUAAAGUUGGUGUACCACCCCCCCACCCUGCUAAAUUUGACUGGCUUUAA
ensembl:misc_RNA Y_RNA Y RNA